rnacentral:lncRNA from 1 species
UUUUUAUCUACUGUAACCUUUAGCCUCCAAAAUCUUCAGAAACAUAUCUAAAUAUUGGAUGUUGAAAAAGAAUGCAUCUUAUAUUUAUCUAUUUGUGCAGAUUGUUGCAAAUCCAGUCUUAACGUGUAGAACGAAUUGGAGAGGAGCAAAUUCUGACUGUGAUUGGAAUAGCAAACUUGGGGACUGUUACUUAGCUUCUCCACUGAACUAUUGGACCUGCUUAGUGUCUCCACCGAACUGUUGAGGAUCCUGCACGCUUCUGGAUUUACCUGGUUUCCGUAUCCGUUAAUGUAACAAUCAACCGCUGCUCUGCUCAAUCCAACCAUUUCUAAACAAUCAGCCCAUUUUUCAAGUUUGUUCUCCAAGACUAGCUGUUCCGUACAGUAGAUGUAUCCAAAAUGCUUCAUCUGCAAGUGACAUAGGCAGAGCACAUAUAAUUCACAUUAACAGUCAAAGCCUCUAUAUGGCAUGAAUUGCGUUGAGCGCACACUCAGCUUCUCCGUGCUGAAAACAAAGCAACAGUCAAAUGCUAUGUCCUAAUUCUAUGAUGUACAAUGCAAGUGAGACAUAGCAAGAAGAGUCCAAGACCUGGCAGAGAAUGGUUCCAUCUGGUCUGAUAGCGGCGUUGCCCCAUGGAACGAGCUGGAGAUCAAUGGAUGAGAUUAAGCCGGUUUCGAAGAUCUUAGGCAAGCGGUUGACGAUGAAUUCUGCACAGAAGGGGCAUAGAGCUUCGUAGUAUAAACUUAGUGUAACUUUCUGGCUUGAAGACAGAGAUAAGAGGCAGAAGAAGAUUGUGCAACUUGUGAUGCAAAGCCUCUGAUAUGAUGCCAUUGGUGGAAACAAGAAGAAGAGGAAGAUUGCAGAGAAUUGUUUUUGACUCUUGCUUUAUUCUUGUGUCUCAUUAAACAAGG